UAGGGAAUCUUCCGCAAUGGACGAAAGUCUGACGGAGCAACGCCGCGUGAGUGAAGAAGGAUUUCGGUUCGUAAAACUCUGUUGUUAGGGAAGAAAAAAUGUAUAGUAACUAUAUACAAAAGAGACGGUACCUAACCAGAAAGCCACGGCUAACUACGUGCCAGCAGCCGCGGUAAUACGUAGGUGGCAAGCGUUGUCCGGAAUUAUUGGGCGUAAAGCGCGCGCAGGUGGUUUAGAAAGUCUGAUGUGAAAGCCCACGGCUCAACCGUGGAGGGUCAUUGGAAACUAAUAAACUUGAGUGCAGGAGAAAAAAGUGGAAUUCCUAGUGUAGCGGUGAAAUGCGUAGAGAUUAGGAGGAACACCGGUGGCGAAAGCGGCUUUUUGGCCUGCAACUGACACUGAGGCGCGAAAGCGUGGGGAGCAAACAGG
rnacentral:rRNA from 1 species